rnacentral:misc_RNA from 1 species
CCCUCCGAUCCCAUGUCCUCCACCUUGAGGCCGUCGUGCGCAUCACUGCCAUGCGCAUCGAGGCACGUCACGUUUGGCAUGAGUCCUGUGACGCCACUGUCUCGCUCCUCUGCAUGCGCGCCAUCUUCGCCCUCCUCUCUUCCCACCUCUCCCUUGCCGUUGCCAUCUCCGCAGUCCAUGCCACCUCCUUUGUCGCCCAGGAAAAUCCCUCUGCCCUCCAUGGCGGCAGCAACUGGAAGCUCCCCGCCGUCACUGUCGUCAUCGUCUUUGUGAUCCUCAUGGCCUUCGCCCUUGUACCACAGGUCCUUGCCGCCGCAAUGUUCACUUCGCUG